GAUGAACGCUGGCGGCGUGCCUAAUACAUGCAAGUCGAGCGAACAGACGAGGAGCUUGCUCCUCUGACGUUAGCGGCGGACGGGUGAGUAACACGUGGAUAACCUACCUAUAAGACUGGGAUAACUUCGGGAAACCGGAGCUAAUACCGGAUAAUAUAUUGAACCGCAUGGUUCAAUAGUGAAAGACGGUUUUGCUGUCACUUAUAGAUGGAUCCGCGCCGCAUUAGCUAGUUGGUAAGGUAACGGCUUACCAAGGCAACGAUGCGUAGCCGACCUGAGAGGGUGAUCGGCCACACUGGAACUGAGACACGGUCCAGACUCCUACGGGAGGCAGCAGUAGGGAAUCUUCCGCAAUGGGCGAAAGCCUGACGGAGCAACGCCGCGGGAGUGAUGAAGGUCUUCGGAUCGUAAAACUCUGUUAUUAGGGAAGAACAAAUGUGUAAGUAACGAUGCACGUCUUGACGGUACCUAAUCAGAAAGCCACGGCGAACUACGU
rnacentral:rRNA from 1 species